AUUUAGCAAUAAACCAUGUUAAUCCUCAUGCUUAACUUGCUCUCUGUUAAUGUCUGCCAUUCUAGUUGUUCGUUGAAUAGUUUCCUGUUCUCUCUCUAUUAAACUGCAGGUUUUGAUUCUGACAGACUGAACGACUUCAUACUGUUAUGGCUCAGUUUCAUAGGCAUACGCUGUCAGGAUGCUGAUAAUAGAGCAAUGCCAAGGAGAAAGUUGCGAAGAGUACCUGAUGUAAAAUAUUCUGACACAUUCAAGUAUGAUCUCGCAAGAGUUUAAUGAGCAGGAGUUUCCUUCUAAUUCCGGGCCUAUGCGAGUCCAGGAUCAACUUUUGGAUAAUGAGACUCGUGUGCUUGAGGUUGAGUUAGCAAGCCUUCUAUAUGCUGUUCAAGAGACGGAAUCGAAGAUGGUGGAGAUGUAAGCAUUUAAUCAUCUCAUGUCCACUCAUGUCCUACAACAGGCUCAGCAAAUUGAGCAUUUAUAUGAGCAGGCCAUUGAAGCUGCAAAGAAUGUGGGGAAGUGUAACAAGGAGCUGGCAUAAGCAAUUAAGCGAAAUAGUAACAUGCAGCAGAACUUUUCUAUUUAUUUUCUUAUUUAUCCUUAC